rnacentral:rRNA from 1 species
AAGAGUGAAAUCGGAAUAUUUAAGUAAAAUUUGAAAUUGAUAUAGAAGCUAAUAAGUUUAGACUUAAACUAGGAUUAGAUACCCUACUAUACUAAAUAGGUUUUGAAGCUAAAGUAUUAUAAGAUAAAAUCUUUAAAUUUAAAGAAUUUGGCGGUAAUUUAGUCUCUCCAGAGGAAUCUGUUUUUUAAUCGAUACACCACGAAUUAUCUUACUUAAGUUUGUAUACCGUCAUUACCGGAUAAUAUUGAAAAAUAAUUAUUGAACAUUAAAUAAUAAAUGAAUUAGAUCAAGGUGCAGCUUAUAAAUAAGUUAAAAUGGAUUACAAUUAAGUUUAUAUAAUUAUGGAAAUUGAAUUCUUUAGAAGGAGGAUUUGGUUGUAAUAGGAAUUAGUAAGAUAAAAAGAUAUAAGCUCUAAAUUGUGUACAUAUCGCCCGUCGCUUCC